GACGAACGCUGGCGGCGUGCUUAACACAUGCAAGUCGAACGGAAAGGCCCUGCUUGCAGGGUACUCGAGUGGCGAACGGGUGAGUAACACGUGAGUGAUCUGCCCUGCACUUCGGGAUAAGCCUGGGAAACUGGGUCUAAUACCGGAUAGGAGCCAUUUUUAGUGUGAUGGUUGGAAAGUUUUUUCGGUGUAGGAUGAGCUCGCGGCCUAUCAGCUUGUUGGUGGGGUAAUGGCCUACCAAGGCGGCGACGGGUAGCCGGCCUGAGAGGGUGGACGGCCACAUUGGGACUGAGAUACGGCCCAGACUCCUACGGGAGGCAGCAGUGGGGAAUAUUGCACAAUGGGCGCAAGCCUGAUGCAGCGACGCCGCGUGGGGGAUGACGGCCUUCGGGUUGUAAACUCCUUUCGCUAGGGACGAAGCUUUUUGUGACGGUACCUAGAGAAGAAGCACCGGCUAACUACGUG
rnacentral:rRNA from 1 species